GGCGCUCAAAGUCAGCCUCGCAGACAUUGCAGCAGAGCCCCGAACUCGGGAGGCGGCGGCGGAGGAGGCGGCGGCGAGGCGCAGGGACGACCCGGCCCCACGCCCGCCCGCCACCCGCGCGCGCCCGUCCGCCCGUGGCCUCGCGUCCGCCGCUGCGCCGUGAGCGCCGCUGGUCGGAGGGAAGAGCUCGCCGGGGCGCCGGGCCAGGACGGGGCGGCAGGCGCCUUCGCGGACCGAGCCUGACGGAGCCGGAGGCUGGGAGCCGCGGCGGCCUGGGGAAGUGUUUGGAUUGUGAGCUAUUUCAGAACUGUUCUCAGGACUCAUUAUUUUAACAUUUGGGAGAAACACAGCCAGAAGAUGCACACUUGACUGAAGGAGGACAGGGAAUCUGAAGACUCCGGAUGACAUCAGAGCUACUUUUCAACAGCCUUCUCAAUUUUCUUUCUCAGAAAGCAGAGGCUCAGAGCUUGGAGACAGACG
rnacentral:lncRNA from 1 species